AGGUAGAUUAGCUCAGCCAGUAGCUCCAGCCAUAGUUCAGGUUAGUGAUCGAGGCAGAGGAAGAGGGUCAGUCCCUCAUUCUUCAGGUUCCCGAGGGACAAAUCCUGCCUGGAACCCGUGAGGGUGAGAGGAUGUUAAGAGCUGCUCACAGUGGCCGCCCCCAGGAGGUGUAACGGGCUGUGAGCGGUAACAGGGCCGGUCGUGCGGGGCCGGGCUGUUACAU
rnacentral:lncRNA from 1 species